rnacentral:rRNA from 1 species
GACGAACGCUGGCGGCGUGCUUAACACAUGCAAGUCGAGCGGAAAGGCUCCUUCGGGGGUACUCGAGCGGCGAACGGGUGAGUAACACGUGAGUAAUCUGCCCUUGGCUUCGGGAUAGCCACCGGAAACGGUGAUUAAUACCGGAUACGACCACUUCUCGCAUGGGAUGGUGGUGGAAAGUUUUUCGGCCAGGGAUGUGCUCGCGGCCUAUCAGCUUGAUGGUGAGGUAAUGGCUCACCAUGGCUUCGACGGGUAGCCGGCCUGAGAGGGCGGCCGGUCACACUGGGACUGAGACACGGCCCAGACUCCUACGGGAGGCAGCAGUGGGGAAUAUUGCGCAAUGGGCGAAAGCCUGACGCAGCGACACCGCGUGAGGGACGAAGGCCCUCGGGUUGUAAACCUCUUUCGGCAGGGACGAAGCGAUCGUGACGGUACCUGCAGAAGAAGCUCCGGCUAACUACGUGCCAGCCGCCGCGGUAACAC